GACGAACGCUGGCGGCGUGCUUAACACAUGCAAGUCGAACGGAAAGGCCCUGCUUUUGUGGGGUGCUCGAUUGGCGAACGGGUGAGUAACACGUGAGUAACCUGCCCUUGACUUUGGGAUAACUUCAGGAAACUGGGGCUAAUACCGGAUAGGAGCUCCUGCUGCAUGGUGGGGGUUGGAAAGUUUCGGCGGUUGGGGAUGGACUCGCGGCUUAUCAGCUUGUUGGUGGGGUAGUGGCUUACCAAGGCUUUGACGGGUAGCCGGCCUGAGAGGGUGACCGGCGACAUUGGGACUGAGAUAGGGCCCAGACUCCUACGGGAGGCAGCAGGGGGGAAUAUUGCACAAUGGGCGGAAGCCUGAUGCAGCAACGCCGCGGGCGGGAUGACGGCCUUCGGGUUGUAAACCGCUUUCGCCUGUGACGAAGCGUGAGUGACGGUAAUGGGUAAAGAAGCACCGGCUAACUACGUG
rnacentral:rRNA from 1 species